CUCUGGCCAGUGUCCCAGCCACUCUGUGGCAUCUCAUGAGCUGGGCAGGCACAGAUAUUGUCUUCCCACUGUGGCUGCACCUGUCUCUGAGUCUGGCCUCACUCUGGCUUCCUGCCCAGGCUGGUCCCAGGAACUUGGCCUGGGACACCUGAACUCUGGACUAAGGUCUACUCUGGUCCAUGAAGAAGGGCCACCCCAGUCCCUGAGACCAGGGCUAGCUCUCAGCAGCCAGUGGGUGACCUCUGUGGGUGUCCUGGGAAGUCCUGAGGGCCCCAGAUGGAGGGGGAGGCAGACCAUGGAGGAUGAGGAGCCCCCGGGGGAGGGGAGGCCUGACACUCCUGGAGGUGGAGCCUGCUGGGCACAGCGCCACAGGUACGGGGUGCCAGAUGGACACCUCCAAGGCCAUGCCCUGUGCUGCUGCCCCAGACAAGGCUCCCACCCAUCGGCAUGCCGCCCCCAUUUUUGUCUCUAACAUUCUAGAAAAUCAGGAAGCCACCGCCGCCACCACCCCCAGAAAAGGUCAGUGUGGAUUUGGUUUUCAUUUGUUCCCUGCCUGGAGAGGACGGGGACCCUCACCCACAGCAUCCUGAGGCCUGGGCCCAACAUCUCCCUCCCAAGGGGCAAGGGGUGGCCCCAGGGUCUGGGAUGCACAGUGAUGUCCCCGGAAGACCCCUCCAGGCUCCCAGCAUGCCCAGACAGGGCACAGAAGGAGCAGGGAGGCAGGAGCAGGACAGAGGGAGCUGCAGUGUGGGCUGGCAAAGGCUUGAGCCAGUGUCUGGGACCGCACAGCCUGUAGGCCAGGCCUCAGACAGCAAGGGCGGCCCCAGGACAGGCAAGAGUUUAGGAGCCGAGGCGCUGGCAUCUGGGGAGAGGCCGUGGCAGUGCUGGAAGAAGGCUGUGGGAGGUCCUCACAUAGGGCUGUGCCCUGUGCUGGGUGCAGCUCCUCGUGCGACCUCCACUCAGCCCAAAAUAUAGAGGAUCAGCCAGCCCUGUGCAGUCAUGGGACUCCACGUCCCUGCUCCCCGACAGCCACGGGCAAGGAAGUAGACAGUUGCAUUUCUCUUCUAGAAGCCCAAGAAAGUGCCUCCUCCACCGCCCCCGCCCCCGCCGCCCCCCGUGACCGUGUGUCCCACAGUGAUCGUCUGCUGCUGUGCCUGCCAGGGGGUGUGGGUGAGCAGAGUGUCCCAGGGCACCCUGGACGGCUUCUACAACUACAUCCAGCCCACCUGCCACCCUUCACCGAUGAUGUUGUGCCGGGCCAGGGGCCAGGUGAGCCGGGCUCAGGGAUGCUCCCUGGGGCACAACAGCCACUGCUUUUGCCCUUGACACUUGCCCGCUGGGACCAUGGCUCAGAGUCAGGGCUGGCAGGUGCCAAGAGGAAUGCCCUGGACACAAAGCUGACAGCUCCUGCUCAUUGCCCCAUGCAUGGCCGUGGCCAGUCCUUUGGGGCAGCAGUGCUGGGGACGUGGUAGCAGCUGCUUGUGGCCAGCACUGACCAGCCCAGGGCCCUCCCCCUCCCUCAUGCCCAGAUGCUGAAGGGGCGUGCCCACAGCUGGGAGGCACACAGCAGGGAGGCAGGAACCCCACACUCCAGAGCAGCGCGGGGGGCAGGCAGCACUGGAAGGGCCUGGAGGAAGGCAGUGCACCCAGCCCAGUGUCACCGUGAAUAGAGCCAGGGACAGGUGUGUCACUGGGAGGCCCACCUGCUGUGGCUGCCUGUGCACCCCCCCCCCCUCCGCCUUUCAGUCCUGGAAGCCCCUCCAGGGUUUGGAUGAGGGCGUGGGGGUCACUGUGUCUCUGCUCUCAGCUCUGACUCAAAUGCAGCUGGGCCUCAGCUCUGCACUCAGCGCCCAGUGCCGGCCCCGCACGCCACAGGAGCCUCAUCCUUUGCACCUGUCGGGGGCUUCGGCUCCUGCUCAUCUGAAAAGCACUCACUGAGCAGAAAUCAAGGAGCGCCCAGGGCUCAGCUCCCUGCCGAGGCUCUUGGACGUCCGGACCCCUCGCCUUCCCCAGUUCUAGAGCUCAGCCCCUCCUUCCUUGGAUGCUGGCCCCUCUGUCCAUCCACAGAGACAGCCAUGCAGAGAAUUCCCUGGUCUCCAUGCCACACUGGUCCCAGGCUCUCUUCUCUCCUGUCCUCAAGCUUCCCUCUACCUCCCCCUGAUGGGGACUUCUGGUAUUACAUCAGCACGCCCACACAAUCUGCUCCAGCAGCCCAGCCCAGGUUCCAGAGCCACAGGCACCAAGCACCUCCCGCCUGGCCAGGGACUUGGACACAGGUUCUCAGCAUGAUGGACGGGACAUCGUUCUGAGCUUCUACUCAGCCUACCAGGAGGGACAGGUGUUUGGCACCUGUGCUCGGUCAGGAAGGAGGCCUCCAGGCUCGGGGGCCACCAGCCCCGGGCCACCAGGGGCUUCACCAAGGUCCAAGCUCUGGGUCCUGAUGCUCCUGCCCCAUCCCUUUGACCCGCCCAC
ensembl:lncRNA